GGGCUGGAGAAGUGUGGUCUGCAAUGCUGAAAUGCUGUACCAUUGUCAAACGGCAAGGGUCGCAGUUGUGAGCUGCUAUGUGGGUAUUGGGAAUUGAACCUGGGUCCUAAAAAGAGAAGCUGGUGCUCUCAAUUGCCAAGUCAUCUCUGCAGACCCAGGUCAGGGUUUUUGAGAGUAACUGAGUCCUUCACAGCUCAAUCAUGCAUGACCCAAGGACUUAAGGUGCUGGACACUCGUGGUCAUCACAGAUCCAUCCGGGAUGGUGGUUCUGAGUUUAUUAUCUCAGGACAAUGAAAGUUAAUGACAUAGACUCACAGGAGUCUGCAAAGUGGGAACAGGCGAUAUUAAGAAUUGUUAUAAGAUAGUGAGAGAUUGCAGGAAAAGUGAGGAAAACACCUAAGGGAGGAGGGAUUUCCAAGAGAGAAAAAAAGCCAUCAGAUUUCCUAUGUCUAGGGGUUGUAAAAGUCAUUUAAAUUACAUUCUAUUCGUGUGUGUGUGUGUGUGUGUGUGUGUUGUGUGUACUUUGUAUGUGCGGGUACACAAAGGCCAAGACAUUUGCGAGGAAGUGUUAAUCCCACUGGGCAAGAAUAAGGGAAAACAGGAGUCUGGGACACAGUGUGCGGUGUGUGUCACCUGUCUACUGCCUGCCUGUGAUGAUGUCCCAGAAAGGAAAUCUACAGAGGUUUCUCCUGGCUCAGGGAGGUCUGAAGUACUUCAUUUCUUAAGUCUCUCCUUACGACUAGAUAAGAGAAACUCCUAGAAGACUUCUUCCAGCAUCUGCUGGAUUUCAUGUGUCUUCCAAUUAAAAUAUCUUUUUUUUUAUCAACUCUGAGAUUCAAGGAGGGGGGUCUACAUCAGCCAACCUUGAACGCCAUUUGGAGAAGAGAUCCUGGAGACCGCAAAUGUUCAGACACCAGGCCAUGCACUUUGGAGAAGCUCGAAGCUGGGGACCUUCAGUCUCUGCAGGAACACACUCCUCCAGUCCGACCUCUCGACGAAGCUGUUUCGCAGAUGACUUUCAUCGAUCACUGGGACAGCAGAGGAAAGGACAGAGGUGGCUCGGCACAAACCACGUUCCUUUCGGGUUUCUCGUGACUGUUUAAGAAUCCAGUGCACAGAUGGUGCAUCAUUGCCCCUUUUAUGUACCUCAGCUGGGAGAGCACCUAGGCUCUCUCUGCAGACACCUUUCUCGUGAUUCGUCACAAAUGCUCGACGUUCUCCUGCUUUUUCAGCAUCUCUGUCGUGAUCCAGCUCUUCCACAGUCCCUUUCCAGACACUCUGCCCUUCUCUGCACGCAGUCUGCCUCACAAAGAAUUUGUCUUCCACGCCCUGGCUUACUUUGUUCACACCACAGCUUGCCGUUCAUGGACUUGUGUUUUACGACAUCCCAAGGAAAUGAGGACAAGAUAGCCCCCCUCUUUUGUUUGAUGCUGUGGCUAGUAUCAGGCUAACUGUACUGUGACUAUCAUAUUCAGUAAGAUGCACUUAAAUGUUUUCAUUGAGUUCCAAGUGACCUUGACAAAUUUCAGCAAAAUUAUGUCGAAUUCCUUCAUCAAUUCAAGGGCAGACUCUAGACGUUUAUUAUAAUCUUCAAAAUUCUUACCAGUUUAAACACUCAAAUUAGUAUGUGAUUGUACUUUUUAUAGGGAUGUCUAUUGCCUGUGAAUUUCCCCCCGUUUAUGUAAUCAUAAGAGUAACACAUUUAACCACAAAACCUCCAGUUAAUAAAGUUCAUUUCGGCCUCUCCUUCCUUCCUUCCUUCCUUCCU